rnacentral:miRNA from 1 species
AAUUGCACAUCUCCCGGCCGGC